rnacentral:misc_RNA from 1 species
UACGAAGGGGGCUAGCGUUGUUCGGAAUUACUGGGCGUAAAGCGCACGUAGGCGGACUAUUAAGUCAGGGGUGAAAUCCUGGAGCUCAACUCCGGAACUGCCUUUGAUACUGGUAGUCUAGAGACCGAGAGAGGUAAGUGGAACUCCUAGUGUAGAGGUGGAAUUCGUAGAUAUUAGGGAGAACACCGAUGGUGAAGGCGGCUUACUGGCUCGGAACUGACGCUGAGGUGCGAAAGCGUGGGGAGCAAACAGG